rnacentral:rRNA from 1 species
CUACGGGUUGCUGCAGUGAGGAAUAUUGCACAAUGGGGGGAACCCUGAUGCAGCAACGCCGCGUGGAGGAUGACGCAUUUCGGUGUGUAAACUCCUUUUAUAUGUCAAGAAAAUGACGGUAGCAUAUGAAUAAGCACCGGCUAACUCCGUGCCAGCAGCCGCGGUAAUACGGAGGGUGCAAGCGUUACUCGGAAUCACUGGGCGUAAAGGACGCGUAGGCGGGUUGGAAAGUCAGGUGGGAAAUCCUACAGCUUAACUGUAGAACUGCACUUGAAACUUCUAAUCUAGAGUAUGGGAGGGGGAGAUGGAAUUAGUGGUGUAGGGGUAAAAUCCGUAGAUAUCACUAGGAAUACCUAAAGCGAAGGCGAUCUCCUGGAACAUUACUGACGCUAAGGCGUGAAAGCGUGGGGAGCAAACAGGAUUAUAUACCCUUGUAGUC